rnacentral:sRNA from 1 species
UCUGUGAUGGGCAAUGCUGUUGCUGUUGACGCAUCCGGUUGUUGUAGAGGGAAAGUGUGAAGGUGAAAGUAGUGUUGAAAUUUAAAUAGUGUUGGCAAUAUUACAGAGGAAGUGAUCGGUAACCAGUAAGGGGAAGAGGUCUGUUGCUGGGAAAUCAUUGGUGGUUGUGUGGAAGCGCGUCUCACUCUCUUCAACGAUGCAUGAUCGGUAAAUUUGAAAGGAAAUUAAAUCCGAAAAUGAGGAAAUCAAACAAAUCAUAAAAGAAGGUAGAUGGUUGGACAAGUGCUAUUGCUGGCACUACAACAAACACUAAGGCCAACAUCAUCAUGGAUAGAUAGACGUACUCAAGGCACUUGCAUCCAGGCAAACGGGCCAUAACGUUUGCCCUAUGACUAGAAAGAUAUGUUUUGGCUUGAUCAGCAGCAUCGGCACAUCACAUCACAAGACAUCGAAAGGGAUAUAGAGAGAGAGGUAUUGGUGGUGAUGGUGUUAGUGUCAUUGUCCGUCUUUUUGGUUCAAGCGGUCGGCGUUUGUUAUGGCCAAGAGUUGCAAUUCCCAUGAAAGUGAGCAAACAUCAGCAGCAGCUCUUUAAGAUUACCAUGGUCACCACUGGGCCGCUUGAAGCAGAUAACUCAUAAGGUUGAGUGAAGAAAGUGAAUAAGAAGACGUUGGCGGUUACACUGGCAAAAAAUUAAAUGAAAAAAAUUUUGAGGAGAGUUCUUGUACUGUACUCUAUACUCUUCCCUGCACUCUACUCUACACUCUAGAGUAAAUUCUAGUCUACACUAAACUCUACUAUACUCUACACUCUUUUCUGCACUCUACGUGUAUUACACACAAAAAUAUGCAACACAUACAGACAACCUUAAUUAUGCAAGUAUAUUGAGGAUCGGCACGAAUCACAUAAUUAAAUGGCAGGUGCAGUGGUCAUCUGUGUGCUUAAUCCCACAACCACUUGAGCCAGGAUCAGUCAAAGCAAGGGUGAAGACCAUGAAACUGGAUGCCAGGAUUUUCAAGCCAAUAAAGGCGAUUGCCGUUGUAAAUGUUCUUACACACAACAAUGUGUUGUUUGGCCUGAAAGCCUUAGCAAAAUAUUUAAAUUGGUUUCGUUACACACACAAAAACUCUUAGAGCAUAUGCCCUUUGUCACUGAAGGAAUUAAAACCUAGGCAUUUAACAUCCACUUAUUUGCUCGAUCUCUUAACCUUUUUUAAGGAAUGCCUAUUUAACAAAAAGGAAACUAUUUAGGAGUUUUCCAUAGCCUUGUGAGUGUGGGGCAAUGUUUACUCGCAGACAUUUGCCCUGUAUGGCAGGGAUAAAAUGAUGCAGAUGUGUGCUGAGGUCUUACAUUGAUGCUGGAUGACCGACCAAACGACCGAUUGGGUCUUGCGUUCAGCCUCAACGAAACUGGAGAACCUUUGUACACUGAGUAUCUCUUGAAUUGAAACACAACUAACAUUUCGAAUGGAUGGGAGAUGCAUUGAACAAAUAUUGAAAUAGUUUCGUAUUCAAAUAUAACGAAUUUAGAGAGAGAGGCCUAUGCUCUUUAACACAACAUUGUGAUUUGAAUGGAAGAUCCAGUGGAAUGGUUUUGAAUACUGAUUUAUAUAUUGUAG